AUUGAACGCUGGCGGCAUGCUUUACACAUGCAAGUCGAACGGCAGCGCGGGGCGACCUGGCGGCGAGUGGCGAACGGGUGAGUAAUAUAUCGGAACGUACCCAGAAGUGGGGGAUAACGUAGCGAAAGUUACGCUAAUACCGCAUACGAUCUACGGAUGAAAGUAGGGGACCGCAAGGCCUUAUGCUUUUGGAGCGGCCGAUAUCUGAUUAGCUAGUUGGUGAGGUAAAGGCUCACCAAGGCGACGAUCAGUAGCUGGUCUGAGAGGGCGACCAGCCACACUGGAACUGAGACACGGUCCAGACUCCUACGGGAGGCAGCAGUGGGGAAUUUUGGACAAUGGGCGCAAGCCUGAUCCAGCAAUGCCGCGUGAGUGAAGAAGGCCUUCGGGUUGUAAAGCUCUUUUGUCAGGGAAGAAACGGUAGAGGCUAAUAUCCUUUGCUAAUGACGGUACCUGAAGAAUAAGCACCGGCUAACUACGUG
rnacentral:rRNA from 1 species